rnacentral:rRNA from 1 species
ACUCCUACGGGAGGCAGCAGUGGGGAAUCUUGGACAAUGGGGGCAACCCUGAUCCAGCCAUGCCGCGGUGAGUGAUGAAGGCCUUAGGUCGUAAAGCUCUUUCGCCUGUGAUGAUAAUGACAGUAGCCAGGUAAAGAAAACCCCGGCUAACUCCGUGCCAGCAGCCGCGGUAAUACGGAGGGGGUUAGCGUUGUUCGGAAUUACUGGGCGUAAAGCGCGCGUAGGCGGAUUAGUCAGUUAGAGGUGAAAUCCCAGGGCUCAACCCUGGAACUGCCUUUAAUACUGCUAGUCUUGAGUUCGAGAGAGGUGAGUGGAAUUCCGAGUGUAGAGGUGAAAUUCGUAGAUAUUCGGAGGAACACCCAGUGGCGAAGGCGGCUCACUGGCUCGAUACUGACGCUGAGGUGCGAAAGUGUGGGGGAGCAAACA